GAAAUAUGGGGUAAUACCGGAUAAUACCUUAGGACUUUGGUUUUUUGGUGAAAGGGGCUUCGGCCUCGCUUUGAGAUGAGUCUGCGGCUUAUUAGCUAGUUGGUAGGGUAAAGGCCUACCAAGGCGACGAUAAGUAGCCGGCCUGAGAGGGUGACCGGCCACAUUGGGACUGAGACACGGCCCAAACUCCUACGGGAGGCAGCAGCUAAGAAUCUUCCGCAAUGGGCGCAAGCCUGACGGAGCGACGCCGCGUGGACGAAGAAUGCCGAGAGGUUGUAAAGUCCUUUUAUAUGCGAAGAAUAAUAUCUUUAGGUAAUGAUCGAUAGAUGACGUUAGCAUAUGAAUAAGCUCCGGCCAAUUACGUGCCAGCAGCCGCGGUAACACGUAAGGAGCGAGCGUUGUUCGGAAUUAUUGGGCGUAAAGGGCAUGUAGGCGGUUACAUAAGUCCGAUGUGAAAUACUACAGCUUAACUGUGGAAACGCAUUGGAAACUGUGUGACUUGAAUCUGUGAGGGGUAACUGGAAUUCC
rnacentral:rRNA from 1 species